UGAGGCUCGAGUCGCGGCGCCUGGGGCGGUGGCCGCCGGACCAAAGCUGGCCUCUCCCGGCUCCUCCUCCUCGCUCCCCAAGGCCUUUCCCACCGCGUCAUUGUCUCGGUUUAUCUGCAGAUACGUCUACCUAGCAGUCAGCCCAGCAGCGUAAGUGGUGACCAGUGUGGGCCUCUUUGAUCCUGAGACCGAAGGCUCGGCCACUGGCCCUCUCCAUUUGUUCCUUGUUGCCCUCCCUUCAUGAUUCAAUCCAUUAAUUAGGACUUUUCCUACCAGCUGGCAGUUCAGAGCUCCGCAUCCCCAGGCCUCUGAGUCACAGUUCCUGCCUUCAUGAAACUAGGAGUUGGGGCCACUGCAUUCUACUCCUUCGGGACUAUUGUUUCAUUUCUCAGUCCCUCAAACCCUUUAUUGGAUGAACAUGGGGUUAGGACAGCGGUUCUCCACUGCAACAGUUUUGCCUCCCAGGAGACAUUUGGCAAUGUAUGAAUCAUUUUCAGCCUCUCAUCUGGGGUGAGAUGUCAUUGGAAUCUACAGAUGGUGGAGGGCACAGUGCUUUUCACCUUGGCUAACUUCAAUGUUAAUGCCCCAAGAGAGAUGAUAUUGUUUCAGAGUGUUACAGAAAAAAAGAUACAGCAAGGUGUUUAGAGGUCUACUAACCCAGGACCACUUUAACGCGGUAGCUGCAGGCUUUGAGAAUCAUCAGCUGAUGUGAAUUUGGGCAGAACACCCAGGUGAGGCUCAGGUUUUAGUUACAAUUUCUUAGGAACGUGUUCUUAUUCUACCUAAGCCUCUAAGCACCAAGACAUCUUCUCUUGCAAUCUGCUCUGAGUUCCCACUUUCGCAUAGAUUUUGGCCUGUGAUUUUACCCUCCGGUGAGUUAUUUUAUGUUUUAAAGCAUAUUUUUAAUGUCUAUUAAGUAUUUUUAGUUAUCAGUGGGAGAUGCUGUCUGUAUAACAAUAUACCGUUGCUGAGUGUAACAUUGUCUUCUAAGAGUUUUUUUAAAAAUUGUGGUAAAAUAUACAAAACAUAGAAUUUAUCAUUUUAACCAUGUUAAAGCGUGCACUUCAGUAGCCUUAAGUACAUUCACUAUGUUGUGCAACCAUCAUCACCAUUCUCCUGUAGAGUUUUCAUCAUUCCCCCAACUGCAACUCUAUACCCAGUAAGCAAUAGCUCCCCAUUUUCUCCAAAACCCAGGCCCCUGGCACCAUUCUACUUGCUGUCUCUAUGAGUUUGACUACGGGUACCACGUAUGAGUGGAAUCAUACAGUAUUUCUCCUUUUGUGACUGACUUCUUUCUUUUAGCAUAAUGUCUUCAAGUUUCACUGUGGCAUGUGUCUUUCUAAGAGUUUGAAAGUGUUUUUUUUUCAUAGUUAUAGCCUUAGGUUCCCUGGGAUUAAUCUGUAUUUAAGUGUGAGGUGCAGAUCUAAAUGUAUCCCAAUAUGGACAUGCCAUUGUCCCGAUAGAAUGUAUUGAUUAAUCCAUCUUUUCCACACUGAUCUGUAAUGCCGUCUGUCAUAUAUCGGAUAGCUAUGUAAAU
rnacentral:lncRNA from 1 species